UCCGACACAGAUGAAUCAUACGAAAAAUAAUAAAUUCACUAUGCGCAUUGUCAUUUUAUGCAGUACAGUAAUACCCGUGACCACUGUCAUUAUCUGCUGCAUUGUACUUAUAAAAAGAAGACGGCAAGAAAGGCCAUCGGAUUCUUUUCAACUAACGGACUCUAAGAAAGAUAUACCUCAAUGGAUGAAAGAUUGUAUAAUCAACGACGUUGUAGACUGGCCAAAGCUGUUUGGUUGUUGUUCUACUCAAGGUUUAUUGCUACCAGACUGGGAAUCCUUCAUACGACUUUUGUGCAGGGGAUCAGAUAUGUCAGAGCAGGGAGAAAGAAUCGUAGCCUUAAGUAAAGAAUCGUUUGAUAAAGACAAACCCCAAUCUCGUAUGUAUUAUGCCAUGGAUCUUUGGAAGCAGAAAAAUGACACAGGAGACGAUAUUAAAAUGUUAAAUACUUUUGCCUGUGCAUUUCGUAAUCAUCAAACUUCUGUGAGAGGAGUGAUCUGUUGUUUUAGAUAACAAGAAGUAUCUUUGGCAUGUGACGGUUAGUUUCAUCUUAUCUUUGCUCAACUACUUCAUUAUCCAAAAAAUUGAAAACAAAUUUGCUUGUUAGGAAACCGGUGAUGUCUAUAUACGAAUAGAACAAUAAGUUCUUGAUUAAUUUAUGUCGGUUUCUGUCCCAUCCAAAUGUACUUUAAAUCUCCUUUUUUUAAUAUAUGAAGUAAUUAUGUAACACGAUAUGUAAAGUAAAAUACUACUUGUAAUUAAUUACUCCAAGAUAUUUUUGUACAAAAUGAAUUAUUCAGUAUACUUUAAUCAAUUGUUGCUUUUUAUCGCUGUUUAAUUUUGACUAAAUUGAAACUUCCAUAGUCUGAUUUUCGUUAUUUUAAAAUUUCAAAUGCUUCCCACGAAAUUAUACAUUUGUUUUAAAUUUUACGAUGAGACCUGCUGAUGGAUUCCAGAUAUUCUUGCAAAAAAUUGAUAUCACAGGUAUAAAUACUCCUUUGUCGAAAUUGAUUAUUUAAUUAAGUCUUUUUCUGUAAACGUAUUGUUCAUAUCUAUUCUCAGGCAUAGACAACCUUAGCCAUAUUUGGUGUAACAUUUUUAUGGUCUUCAACUUCAUAUUGAUCAGUAAGAGCAGAACGCCAAAUGAUGAGUCUAAUGGUGUUGAAACACGCGUCUUUGUAAGACAUAUAAGGUAUAUGUAAAAGUUGAUCGAGCAUAUUUUACAUUUGAGUUUUCAACUUUUUAGUUAAUAAUAUUUUUCUAGUAAAAACAAACGAUAUAUACGUAAGGUGUAUUUGAUAGUAUCAAAGAAAUAUGGCUUCUUCGGUCGUCUCCAAUCGGUAAUACGACAUUUACUUUACCAAAAUACAGCUGCCGUUUAUGGUAAGCGCUGAAUAAUGAAUACUUUGUAAGGACUGCAAAACAUGUACAACACAAGUUAUAUAAAACUCCAAAAUAUAUCGGGUUUGCAAUGUCUUUGUAUCAGAUAGAAUCUCAUUUUACAUCAAGUCUUUUAUGUACUUGCUCAUUAUUUUAUUAUUGUAUCACAUAUGUAUGUGUAUACUUAAAAACCUAUACCUGUUAUAGAAAAACGUUCAAGGUGCAAAUGUGUCUUCCGAUAACAAAAUAGUUGAAAGAGUCUUUUAAAAUUUUAUGUAUUUUUUUACCUUAUUGAAUAUUAUAUCUAGUUUGUGAUAUCUACUAUAUAUGUGCCAAUAAAGUGAUCUGUUAGAUUUUAUAUUUUUAUAUGAUGUCCCGUUAAUUAUAUAGUUAUUAUCUGUUAUAAUAUUUAUUGUUGUUUUGUUUAUUUUUCUCUGAUAUCUAUAUUCUUAGUAAUUUUUGCUAAGUGAAGUCUCUAAUUUUCCUAAAUUAUGAAAUACGUAUUGUUGCAAGAUUCGUAUCAUCAAAUGUUUAUUUGUUUAGUGAAGCGUCCAUUGAUGACAGGAAUAAUUUCCGAAUAUUUACGAAAAAUUUGCAAUUGGACAUAACGCAACACGUUUUCGAUCUAUACUUGUCUGUAUACCUGUCGUGAUGAUUUAGAUUUGCUAUUUGAAUGCAGAAGAGUAAUAAUAGUGUCUACUUUUUAUCUGAAACAUAGAAUAUCUACAGUAAAAAAAUCACACUAAAUUGCAGGUCUUUCAAAUUUUGGCCUAUUUGGUUCUUGCAUCUUAACCACAUAAAAUUAAUUCUAUAUUUUAAAUAUCAAAAAUGCAUACGUAUUUAAAAUUUUGAUAUCUAUGUUAAACAAAUAUUUAAUAGAAGAAUGUUGUUUUUUUUAAACUAUGGUUAUUAUAUCAAUAUUAUAAUUAUUGUUUUUUAUUAGUCUUAUUUGUGAUCGUUUGAGUAAUUUGUAUAAAUAUAUAUUCAUACAAUACAAGAUCUCAUUAUAUAUAUGCCUUUCUAUUUAUGUACUAUUAUUAUCCAAGGUUUUACACUUAUUUUGUAGAUUUUUAUUGCAAUCAUAUAUUCAUUAUCCAUAUUGGUAAAACAUAUACGCAUGUUACGUCUAUUGAAAGUUUAUUUACAUAAUUAACAAUAUCACUACAUUUGUAUUAUAAUACUGUAUUAACUUAGAUAUUGAAAUAAUAUUCUAUUGAUGUUGAGAGUAUUUGUAUAACAUUGUUUAUUGAUGAAAAAAAUAUAUUCAAAUAUAUAUGUAACUUAUCCUGUCGCAACACAGUAGCUUUACUGAUUGAACAACGUCUGUCAUUAACCGUCAUUGUAUAGUUGCCCUUUGGUUUUUAAAAGUGUUGGUCUACCUUUGUUUGUCCAUUGCUAUUUUAAACAUAAUCAAAUAUACCUUUCGUUAAAACUAACAUGUGAUAGAAGCCGACCUAAAACACACUAAACAAUAAAUUUGUGAGUGAUAAUCAAAAUUUCAGUAUAAUUAAAUUCAAUUCAGUACUAUAAAUACACCUCGCUUACAGUGAAUUAAGAUCUAUUAUGUAUAUUUUCACAAUGUUAUUAUUUGUAUGGUGACAUAAGUUAUUUCUGAAUUGUCUAAAUAGAAAAUUAUCUGUAAUUCAUUGUCUCUAAGUGAAAGGCUUGCAUAGCACUAGAGUUAAAUCCAAUACAGGCAACAGUAGUAUACAGGUCCUAAAUCGAUUAAGAGAAAACAAAUCCUGGUUACAAACUAAAACCGAGGGAAACACAUCAACAUAUCCGAAACAUAGCAAAUUCCACAAUUACCAUUGCAUAGAAAAAUCGAUUAAAUUUUUUAAACAUCAAGGUAGCCUGGUCCUGCAUCUGAAUUAAAUGCUAACCAAACAUAACCCAAUGAUGGGACAUGCAGAAGACUGGUCAAAAUAAUCGAAACAAAUAAAAUAUCAAAAACAUUUAGUACAUAAAACCAUGCUUCAGUAUGGAAGAUAAGAUUUAAAUGAUAUUUUUGUUUUGUAGUGGCGGAUCCAGGGGGGGGGAGGGUUUACGGGGGUUUAAAACCCCCCUUUUUUGACGAUCAAUGCAUUUGAAUGGGGACAUAUAGUUGGAACCCUCCCCCUUUUAUCCAGGGUUAGGAUUUUAUAUUUUUAUAUGAUGUCCCGUUAAUUAUAUAGUUAUUAUCUGUUAUAAUAUUUAUUGUUGUUUUGUUUAUUUUUCUCUGAUAUCUAUAUUCUUAGUAAUUUUUGCUAAGUGAAGUCUCUAAUUUUCCUAAAUUAUGAAAUACGUAUUGUUGCAAGAUUCGUAUCAUCAAAUGUUUAUUUGUUUAGUGAAGCGUCCAUUGAUGACAGGAAUAAUUUCCGAAUAUUUACGAAAAAUUUGCAAUUGGACAUAACGCAACACGUUUUCGAUCUAUACUUGUCUGUAUACCUGUCGUGAUGAUUUAGAUUUGCUAUUUGAAUGCAGAAGAGUAAUAAUAGUGUCUACUUUUUAUCUGAAACAUAGAAUAUCUACAGUAAAAAAAUCACACUAAAUUGCAGGUCUUUCAAAUUUUGGCCUAUUUGGUUCUUGCAUCUUAACCACAUAAAAUUAAUUCUAUAUUUUAAAUAUCAAAAAUGCAUACGUAUUUAAAAUUUUGAUAUCUAUGUUAAACAAAUAUUUAAUAGAAGAAUGUUGUUUUUUUUAAACUAUGGUUAUUAUAUCAAUAUUAUAAUUAUUGUUUUUUAUUAGUCUUAUUUGUGAUCGUUUGAGUUAUUUGUAUAAAUAUAUAUUCAUACAAUACAAGAUCUCAUUAUAUAUAUGCCUUUCUAUUUAUGUACUAUUAUUAUCCAAGGUUUUACAUUUAUUUUGUAGAUUUUUAUUGCAAUCAUAUAUUCAUUAUCCAUAUUGGUAAAACAUAUACGCAUGUUACGUCUAUUGAAAGUUUAUUUACAUAAUUAACAAUAUCACUACAUUUGUAUUAUAAUACUGUAUUAACUUAGAUAUUGAAAUAAUAUUCUAUUGAUGUUGAGAGUAUUUGUAUAACAUUGUUUAUUGAUGAAAAAAAUAUAUUCAAAUAUAUAUGUAACUUAUCCUGUCGCAACACAGUAGCUUUACUGAUUGAACAACGUCUGUCAUUAACCGUCAUUGUAUAGUUGCCCUUUGGUUUUUAAAAGUGUUGGUCUACCUUUGUUUGUCCAUUGCUAUUUUAAACAUAAUCAAAUAUACCUUUCGUUAAAACUAACAUGUGAUAGAAGCCGACCUAAAACACACUAAACAAUAAAUUUGUGAGUGAUAAUCAAAAUUUCAGUAUAAUUAAAUUCAAUUCAGUACUAUAAAUACACCUCGCUUACAGUGAAUUAAGAUCUAUUAUGUAUAUUUUCACAAUGUUAUUAUUUGUAUGGUGACAUAAGUUAUUUCUGAAUUGUCUAAAUAGAAAAUUAUCUGUAAUUCAUUGUCUCUAAGUGAAAGGCUUGCAUAGCACUAGAGUUAAAUCCAAUACAGGCAACAGUAGUAUACAGGUCCUAAAUCGAUUCAGAGAAAACAAAUCCUGGUUACAAACUAAAACCGAGGGAAACACAUCAACAUAUCCGAAACAUAGCAAAUUCCACAAUUACCAUUGCAUAGAAAAAUCGAUUAAAUUUUUUAAACAUCAAGGUAGCCUAGUCCUGCAUCUGAAUUAAAUGCUAACCAAACAUAACCCAAUGAUGGGACAUGCAGAAGACUGGUCAAAAUAAUCGAAACAAAUAAAAUAUCAAAAACAUUUAGUACAUAAAACCAUGCUUCAGUAUGGAAGAUAAGAUUUAAAUGAUAUUUUUGUUUUGUAGUGGCGGAUCCAGGGGGGAGGGUUUACGGGGGUUUAAAACCCCCCUUUUUUGACGAUCAAUGCAUUUGAAUGGGGACAUAUAGUUGGAACCCUCCCCCUUUUAUCCAGGGUUAGGAACCCCCCCCCUUUUAUAAAUGGCUGGAUCCUCCCCUGUUUUGCUUUAUAUUAUACUUAACUGCCGUUGAAACUCACCCAGAAAAAAACUGCCGUUGACUGUUUUUUUUUUUUUUUUUUUGUUCUGUAAAGCUCUCGUUUCUAUUUUAUUGCUCUCCAAGGCUCUCAAACUUUUUAAAUUUUGUGUUAUUCCAACUUUAAUGACGUGCAUAUUUGGUGACAGUUAUUCCCGAAACACGUGUUAGUACGAUAGACAUAAUUUUUAUUUCUAUUCCACAGUAAUACGAAACUGUUUAAAAUAUUGGGUUGAAUCCUUUAAUAUCUUAGAUCAUGUUUGAGGUAUUUUUGAUUUACUGUUCAAAGUUCAGAAACCGACAAAAGAGAGAAAAAAGUAUGAAUUGUAAAAUUUUAAUUGUUGGAGUAGCUUUUGGUACGACAGUAAUGAAUUAAUAUGCAUUGAUUGAAGACCGCCCUUAAUUGUCUUUGCACGAAAUAUUGUUAAGAACAGUAGUUGUAUCAUGUUUGAAUGACACUGAUUGGUUUUAUAUAAACGUAUUAUCUUCUAA